rnacentral:rRNA from 1 species
UACGUAGGGUGCAAGCGUUAAUCGGAAUUACUGGGCGUAAAGCGUGCGCAGGCGGUGAUGUAAGACAGAUGUGAAAUCCCCGGGCUCAACCUGGGAACUGCAUUUGUGACUGCAUCGCUGGAGUGCGGCAGAGGGGGAUGGAAUUCCGCGUGUAGCAGUGAAAUGCGUAGAUAUCAGGAGGAAUACCGAUGGCGAAGGCAGGUCUCUGGGCUAUAACUGACGCUCAUGCACGAAAGCGUGGGGAGCAAACAGG